CGUAGAUAUCUGGAAGUACACCGGUUGCGAAGGCGGCUUCUUGGACCGACACUGACGCUGAGGCGCGAAAAGCGUGGGUAGCGAACAGGAUUAGAUACCCUGGUAGUCCACGCUGUAAACGAUGAAUGUUAGAUGUCGGGGGAUUUUUCCUUCGGCGUCAAAGUUAACGCAUUAAACAUUCCACCUGGGAAGUAUGAUCGCAAGGUUGAAACUCAAAGGAAUUGACGGGGGCCCGCACAAGCAGUGGAGCAUGUGGUUUAAUUCGAUGCAACGCGAAGAACCUUACAUAGGCUUGAAAUGUGUUCGAUCGGUCGUGAAAGCGACCUUCCUUCGGGCGGACACACAGGUGCUGCAUGGCUGUCGUCAGCUCGUGCCGCGAGGUGUUGGGUUAAGUCCCGCAACGAGCGCAACCCCUACCAUUAGUUGCCACCGGGUAAUGCCGAGCACUCUAAUGGAACUGCCUACGCAAGUAGUGAGCCAGGUGGGGACGACGUCAAGUCCGCAUGGCCCUUACGCCUAGGGCUACACACGUGCUACAAUGGGCGCAACAAUGGGCAGCGAUACCGCGAGGUGGAGCGAAUCCCUAAAAAGCGUCCUCAGUUCGGAUUGGAGUCUGCAACUCGACUUCAUGAAGUUGGAAUUGCUAGUAAUCGCGUAUCAGCACCACCGCGCUGAAUACGUUCCCGGGCAUUGUACACACCGCCCGUCAAGCCAUGGAAGCCGGGGGUACCCAAAGAUAGU
rnacentral:rRNA from 1 species